rnacentral:rRNA from 1 species
UACGUAGGGGGCUAGCGUUGUCCGGAAUCAUUGGGCGUAAAGAGCGUGUAGGCGGCCCGGUAAGUCCGCUGUGAAAGUCGGGGGCUCAACCCUCGAAUGCCGGUGGAUACUGUCGGGCUAGAGUGCGGAAGAGGCGAGUGGAAUUCCCGGUGUAGCGGUGAAAUGCGCAGAUAUCGGGAGGAACACCUAUGGCGAAGGCAGCUCGCUGGCACGUUACUGACGCUGAGACGCGAAAGCGUGGGGAGCAAACAGG